GGGUUUUUGCUAGUUAAUUAGAGAUCACCCCAUGGAUCGCCAGAGUUGAUUUGGCUGAUCUGGCUGGCUAGGUGGGUGUCCCCUUUCUCCUUCACUGCUCCAUGUGCGUCCCUCCCGAAGCUGCAUGCUCGGUCGAAGAGGACGACCAUCCCCGAUAAAGGAGGACUGGUCUUCGGUCAAGGGUAUACGAGUAGCUGCGCUCCCCUGCUCGAACCUCCAAACAAGCUCUCAAGGAGUCUCUCCAAUUGUCUGCCAGAGCUGACUUCAAACUAUGAUCCUCAGAUCUCAGUCUCCUGAGUCUCUGGGAUUAAAG
ensembl:misc_RNA 7SK 7SK RNA